AGAGUUUGAUCAUGGCUCAGAUUGAACGCUGGCGGCAGGCCUAACACAUGCAAGUCGAACGGUAACAUUUCUAGCUUGCUAGAAGAUGACGAGUGGCGGACGGGUGAGUAAUGCUUGGGAACUUGCCUUUGCGAGGGGGAUAACAGUUGGAAACGACUGCUAAUACCGCAUAAUGUCUUCGGACCAAACGGGGCUUAGGCUCCGGCGCAAAGAGAGGCCCAAGUGAGAUUAGCUAGUUGGUAAGGUAACGGCUUACCAAGGCGACGAUCUCUAGCUGUUCUGAGAGGAAGAUCAGCCACACUGGGACUGAGACACGGCCCAGACUCCUACGGGAGGCAGCAGUGGGGAAUAUUGCACAAUGGGGGAAACCCUGAUGCAGCCAUGCCGCGUGUGUGAAGAAGGCCUUCGGGUUGUAAAGCACUUUCAGUUGUGAGGAAAAGUUAGUAGUUAAUACCUGCUAGCCGUGACGUUAACAACAGAAGAAGCACCGGCUAACUCCGUGCCAGCAGCCGCGGUAAUACGGAGGGUGCGAGCGUUAAUCGGAAUUACUGGGCGUAAAGCGCACGCAGGCGGUUUGUUAAGCUAGAUGUGAAAGCCCCGGGCUCAACCUGGGAUGGUCAUUUAGAACUGGCAGACUAGAGUCUUGGAGAGGGGAGUGGAAUUCCAGGUGUAGCGGUGAAAUGCGUAGAUAUCUGGAGGAACAUCAGUGGCGAAGGCGACUCCCUGGCCAAAGACUGACGCUCAUGUGCGAAAGUGUGGGUAGCGAACAGGAUUAGAUACCCUGGUAGUCCACACC
rnacentral:rRNA from 1 species